rnacentral:rRNA from 1 species
GAUGAACGCUGGCGGCGUGCCUAAUACAUGCAAGUCGAGCGAAUGGAUUAAGAGCUUGCUCUUAUGAAGUUAGCGGCGGACGGGUGAGUAACACGUGGGUAACCUGCCCAUAAGACUGGGAUAACUCCGGGAAACCGGGGAUAAUACCGGAUAAUAUUUUGAACUGCAUGGUUCAAAAUUGAAAGGCGGCUUCGGCUGUCACUUAUGGAUGGACCAGCGUCGCAUUAGCUAGUUGGUGAGGUAACGGCUCACCAAGGCAACGAUGCGUAGCCGACCUGAGAGGGUGAUCGGCCACACUGGGACUGAGACACGGCCCAGACUCCUACGGGAGGCAGCAGUAGGGAAUCUUCCGCAAUGGACGAAAGUCUGACGGAGCAACGCCCCGUGAGUGAUGAAGGCUUUCGGGUCGUAAAACUCUGUUGUUAGGGAAGAACAAGUGCUAGUUGAAUAAGCUGGCACCUUGACGGUACCUAACCAGAAAGCCACGGCUAACUACGUGCCAGCCGCCGCAGUAA